CGAGCGGUAACAGAUCUAGCUUGCUAGAUGCUGACGAGCGGCGGACGGGUGAGUAAUGCAUAGGAAUCUACCCGGUAGUGGGGGAUAACCUGGGGAAACCCAGGCUAAUACCGCAUACGUCCUACGGGAGAAAGGGGGCUCCGGCUCCCGCUAUCGGAUGAGCCUAUGUCGGAUUAGCUAGUUGGUGAGGUAAUGGCUCACCAAGGCAACGAUCCGUAGCUGGUCUGAGAGGAUGAUCAGCCACAUCGGGACUGAGACACGGCCCGAACUCCUACGGGAGGCAGCAGUGGGGAAUAUUGGACAAUGGGGGGAACCCUGAUCCAGCCAUGCCGCGUGUGUGAAGAAGGCCUUCGGGUUGUAAAGCACUUUCAGCGAGGAAGAACGCCUAGUGGUUAAUACCCAUUAGGAAAGACAUCACUCGCAGAAGAAGCACCGGCUAACUCCGUGCCAGCAGCCGCGGUAAUACGGAGGGUGCAAGCGUUAAUCGGAAUUACUGGGCGUAAAGCGCGCGUAGGUGGCUUGAUAAGCCGGUUGUGAAAGCCCCGGGCUCAACCUGGGAACGGCAUCCGGAACUGUCAAGCUAGAGUGCAGGAGAGGAAGGUAGAAUUCCCGGUGUAGCGGUGAAAUGCGUAGAGAUCGGGAGGAAUACCAGUGGCGAAGGCGGCCUUCUGGACUGACACUGACACUGAGGUGCGAAAGCGUGGGUAGCAAACAGGAUUAGAUACCCUGGUAGUCCACGCCGUAAACGAUGUCGACCAGCCGUUGGGUGCCUAGCGCACUUUGUGGCGAAGUUAACGCGAUAAGUCGACCGCCUGGGGAGU
rnacentral:rRNA from 1 species